rnacentral:rRNA from 1 species
GCUACGGGUGGCAGCAGUGGGGAAUAUUGGGCAAUGGAGGAAACUCUGACCCAGCAACGCCGCGUGAAUGAUGAAGGUCUUCGGAUUGUAAAGUUCUUUUCUGGGGGACGAACAAAUGACGGUACUGCAGGAAUAAACCACGGAUAACUACGUGCCAGCAGCCGCGGGAACACGUAGGGGGCAAGCUUUACCCGGAUUUAUUGGGUGGAAAGGGCGUGUAGAUGGGAAUGCAAGUCAGAUGUGAAACCCCAGGGGUCAACCCUGGGACUGCAUUUGAAACUGUGUGUCUUGAGUACUGGAGAGGUAAUCGGAAUUCCGUGUGUAGCGGUGAAAUGCGUAGAUAUACGGAGGAACACCAGUGGCGAAGGCGGAUUGCUGGACAGUAACUGACGCUGAGGCGCGAAAGCGUGGGGAGCAAACAGGAUUAGAUACCCUUGUAGUC